rnacentral:lncRNA from 1 species
CUGGAGGCAGCGGGAGCUUCUUCUGCGGCGGCUCCUCGUCUUUUUCGUGAGGCGUGGAUGGCGCCUCUGGGUAGGAGCAGUGUGGACUUCUCCUUCGUCCACUUCUUCUUCAUCCGCGCUGGCUCUUCGUCUUUUUCGUGAGACGUCGAUGGCGCCUCCGGUUGGAAGCACCCACUUCCGGUGGGAUUGCAGCCGCUUCGGAUGGAGGUUUCGGGAUCCCAGAUCUUCAGCUCCUCGGAGUCUCCACCUCUUCUUUACUUUCUUU